rnacentral:rRNA from 1 species
UACAGAGGGUGCGAGCGUUGUCCGGAAUCACUGGGCGUAAAGCGCACGUAGGCGGAUUGCUAAGUCAGGGGUGAAAUCCUGGAGCUCAACUCCAGAACUGCCUUUGAUACUGGCGAUCUCGAGUCCGGGAGAGGUGAGUGGAACUGCGAGUGUAGAGGUGAAAUUCGUAGAUAUUCGCAAGAACACCAGUGGCGAAGGCGGCUCACUGGCCCGGUACUGACGCUGAGGUGCGAAAGCGUGGGGAGCAAACAGG